rnacentral:rRNA from 1 species
UGGGGAAUCUUGCGCAAUGGGCGAAAGCCUGAACUAGCAACGCCGCGUGUGCGAAGAAGGCCUUCGGGUUGUAAAGCACUUUUUGAGAGGAUGAGGAAGGACGGUACUCUCAGAAUAAGUCUCGGCUAACUACGUGCCAGCAGCCGCGGUAACACGUAGGAGGCAAACGUUAUCCGGAUUUACUGGGCGUAAAGCGCGUGUAGGUGGUUUGGUAAGUAGGGCGUGAAAGCUCCUGGCUCAACUGGGAGAGGCCGUUCUAAACUGCAGAGCUAGAGGAUGGUAGAGGUAGGUGGAGUUCCGGGUGUAGCGGUGGAAUGCGCAGAUAUCCGGAGGAACACCAGUGGCGAAAGCGGCCUCCUGGACCAUUCCUGACACUCAGACGCGAAAGCUAGGGUAGCAAACG